rnacentral:lncRNA from 1 species
GUGGCUUCAGAGACUCCACCCCCAGCCUCCGCGCAGGCGCAGUGUGGGUGUGUGGUGCUGCAGCGGUACCGGACGCGGCAGGAGCCGGCGGAGCCAUGGCGGGGACCCCGCAGGAGAACACGCUGCUGCACCUCUUCGCCGGGGGGUGUGGGGGUACAGUUGGUGCCAUUUUUACAUGUCCCUUAGAAGUAAUAAAGACCAGGCUUCAAUCUUCAAGGCUAGCUUUCCGGGCUGUCUACUAUCCUCAAGUCCAGCUGGGGACAAUCAGUGGGGAAGGAAUGGUCAGGCCGACAUCGGUAUCACCUGGACUUCUCCAAGUUCUGAAGUCAAUUCUGGAAAAAGAAGGACCAAGGUCGCUCUUCCGAGGAUUGGGUCCAAACUUGGUCGGAGUUGCGCCAUCCAGGGCAAUCUACUUCGCAUGCUACUCGAAAGCCAAGGAGCGGUUUAAUGGAAUUUUUGUGCCCAACAGCAACAUUGUGCACAUUUGCUCAGCAGGCUCUGCAGGUAUGUUAUCACAUGGAGGUGUCCACUCAUCUCCCUUGCUGUAG